rnacentral:rRNA from 1 species
UACGGAGGGUGCAAGCGUUAUCCGGAAUCACUGGGCGUAAAGGGCGCGUAGGCGGUUUGUUAAGUCCGAUGUUAAAGCGUGAGGCUCAACCUCAUCACGGCGUUGGAUACUGGCAAGCUGGACGGUUGGAGAGGAAGGUAGAAUUACCAGUGUAGCGGUGGAAUGCGUAGAUACUGGUAGGAAUACCCAUUGCGAAGGCAGCCUUCUGGACAACACGUGACGCUGAGGCGCGAAAGUGUGGGGAGCAAACCGGAUUAGAAACCCUAGUAGUCC